GUGUGUAUAUGGCGAUGCAUGUGCAAGGCAAAUGCAAUCGCUUCAGUCCAUCGAACCACGACGUUUAGUGCAAGCUUCUUUUUGGAAGAAAUUGACAUAUUUCUUUUUUUGCGGGGCAAUAAAUAUUUAUUAGAAAUAACGAGGGUUAACAAAUGCAACGUAGCGAGAACCAGAAAAAAAAAAAAAAACCAUUGACAACCUCCCCAAACCUGAUGCAAAUAUCGAACAACCAUUGACUUCAACC
rnacentral:lncRNA from 1 species